UUAAGUCCCGCAACGAGCGCAACCCUUGUCCUUAGUUGCCAGCAUUUAGUUGGGCACUUUAAGGAGACUGCCGGUGACAAACCGGAGGAAGUGGGGACGACGUCAAGUCAUCAUGGCCCUUACGUGUAGGGCUACACACGUGCUACAAUGGUUGGUACAGAGGGAAGCGAGACAGUGAUGUGGAGCGGAGCCCUUAAAGCCAAUCGUAGUCCGGAUUGGAGUCUGCAACUCGACUCCAUGAAGUCGGAAUCGCUAGUAAUCGCAGGUCAGCAUACUGCGGUGAAUACGUUCCCGGGCCUU
rnacentral:rRNA from 1 species